AAUCUGCGCGAGAUGAGGCAGCUUAACAGAAGCGUAGAGGCCAAGGCCGGGGUCAACCGUUUUCAAAUCAGCCACAAAAGAACGACCCAUGACCAGGCAGACCCGUUUUAACGGACGUUUUUUUGAACCGCCCCUUAAUUAAAUCUCGAAGAAAUACAACAAAAUCUGUCCAUCUGUUUUGUUUUCCGAAAACAAUUCUUGUUUCUCAGCACUGGUAUUGUGUUGGCACUGGUAUUAUAAGUGUCUACCGCGGCCAAUAUUGGAAGAAGUUGUCCGUUUGAGCCUAUUUGCAGCCCAUAUAAAUUAACACUUGCUUAAUGCUGUCGAUUUAGGAGUCAGGUUUUAUAGGUAAGAUUGGUAGCAUAUGCAUGUCAAAAUCCAAAACGUUAUCAAUUUUGUGAUUAUCAGAACUGUAUGAUAACUAUGAAUCAUGCAAUUAAAAUCAGACUUUUAAAAUCUGACAAUGUAGCCUAUAUUGAACAACAGACUGUGAAUCGACGCACUAUGAAAAACGAUGGGUCUUCAUGGCAACAAUCGCAGAAAGACUAUGGGAGAGGUCCACAAUUGCAUUGGGCAGAUAUGUCAGUUCAGUCGUGGGUAAAUAUGUAUGUGCAAUAACUAAACAAAUAAGCGUCCAAGAAUUACCUGAAUGAAUAUAUGGAUGAAUGAAUGAUCGCAGCUCUUCUAAAACUCUCGUCACAGAUUCUGAGCCGCAUCUCUCUCCCUCGCAAACCCAAACACAUACACAAGCACGCAGAGUUAUAACGAAGAUAGCCUAACAAAUGUAAGACAACAUCCAGGGAGCUUAUCAAUUUUAUAAGCUGCGAAAUUAUAUGCUACAUACUGAUACAUUCACGCAUUUCAGUUGGACAAGCACUUGCUGUUGGUCCUAACGGACUCAGAAUUUGUUGAGUUUUUUUUUUUUCGAACACGGGCAUGGAAAGAGAACACAAAAAAGCUCUUUCGGCACAUCUAACGGUCGCCUAUACAACGACACAUCAACCCAUUUGACAUCCUGUUAUUUGUGUCUACUGUCUCAGUUUCAGCCAGCAAUUGUAAGACGAACCGCGAAUCUCAGUUUUCUCUGUGCUCCAAAACACCACAACUUCCACGACAGGUUUAACUCUGCUCUUUCAAAAUAAAACUCUCGACGCUUUUCGCUCUGAGUGUACAACUCAAGUUGUUACUGAAAAGUUGAUGCAUCUUUACGCACAUAUAUGUCCGCUUCAUAUCGAGUGGCAACACAUGUCCUCACAGUGAUUGAGCAACCUAAAACUACCAGAAACAAGAUCCGCUUUUGGGCGUUUGAAUGGAACCGCAUCUGCCCCUACGCCCGAAACUGCGUGGAUAUUUCUCUGGUGCAAUGCCGUUGACUUAACACAUACAAGCAUUUCGCCUUACCUGUUGGUCCUUCCAAAUUUUCCGCGUACACCCUUACGAAUAACAUCAGUAGAAAAGCUCCAGAAUUCAUUGUAACGUCUUUUAGUUCCAGUUCCUUGCGUGUUGGCAGUUGGUUGAAAUCCUAAACAGUGUCUCCGGACACUGAAGCGAAGUUGCGCAUUGAUUGCUGUUAUCCUGCCGGAGCAAGUACUGAGUUUCCACGAGAGACGCAGCAGCAGCAGCCACCCGAGCUGUUCCAGCUGACGUC
ensembl:lncRNA